rnacentral:rRNA from 1 species
UACGUAGGGGGCAAGCGUUGUCCGGAAUUAUUGGGCGUAAAGGGCGCGUAGGUGGCCUUCUAAGUUGAACGUGAAAUCCCUGGGCUCAACCCAGGAACUGCGUCCAAGACUGGGAGGCUUGAAUCCGGGAGAGGGAUGCGGAAUUCCAGGUGUAGCGGUGAAAUGCGUAGAUAUCUGGAGGAACACCGGUGGCGAAGGCGGCAUCCUGGACCGGUAUUGACACUGAGGCGCGAAAGCCAGGGGAGCAAACGGG